rnacentral:lncRNA from 1 species
UUGCGUUAGUCUACUUGGGCUACCAUAACAAAGCACACACACUGGGUGGCUUCAGCUUCGGGAAUGCAUUCGUUACAGGGACUGGAAGUCUAAGAUCAAGGUGUCAGCAGGGCUCCUUUUUUCUGAGGUCCCUCUCCUUGGCUUGUCCCUGGCCAUCUUAUCCCUGUGUCUUUACGUGGUCUUCCUUCUGUGAGUUAUCUGUGUCCUAAUUUUUUCUUCUUGUCGGACACCAGUCAGAUUGGAUGAGGGCAUGCCCAUAGGGCCUCAUUAUAGACCCCCUCUCCAGAUACCCUCACAUCCUAAGCUAUUGUGAGUUAGAACUUCAACGUAUGAAUUUGGCAAGGGACACAGUUCUCGUUCACCAUGAGCACUGGCUUCAUAGAUUUUUACCACUAUUAAGUUGCCGUCUUCCUGAGUAGGUUAUUUGCUAUGAAGGUUUGGUAAGAGAUAUACAUUUUCAUUAAGAAAGUGGCAUUUUGGAGCUGAUGGUUGUUUCUAGGGGCUAGGACUAGGCUAUCAUAUUGGGAGUUCCACACCCCCAAGAAUAAAAUCCCAGAGGAUGAAAGUAAUAAAGCAGUUUGGAAUGUGGUGGUGAUGGCCAACAUUACCAGACUCACUGGAAAUUCUCACUGUGAAACAGCUAGUACUUGGGGGACCCCAGAAAAUUCAGUGGUCGCGUGUCCAGUACCCAAGAGAUGAAAACAUCAGAUGCGAAGGCUUUUCUCUGAUCUUCCCUGUUUGUUGACUCUCAGGACUGGGAGAGCUCUGUAAAACAUGAGGGUCUGAUCUUUUAGCUUUAGAUUGGAAUAGAGGAUUUCGGCUUCCACUCCUUAAAGGGCAAAGGAAGGGUCCACCCCGGCUCAGCCGUGGUCACUCCCCGUGCAUAACUAAAAUCACUGCCCAGGAAGUCAGAGAGAGGUUGUGGGAAAGAGGCUGUGUAAGUGACUCUGACUGUUGCUAUAACAACAGUACCUUGGUCUAAUUUCUUUUGAAAAAUGAAUUUCAGCUGGUGGGAUGAAGCUGAGCAGCUUCUCCCCACAGAUGACAGCCUCCGGAGCUCUGCUGUUUAUGGGCUGAGUGCGUGGUGCCCUGCCUGCCUCUGCCCACUGGAACAUCCUCAGAGCCGGUUAAAUCAUACCUGCGUUUGCCUGAAAGGAGAUAAACACAUGCUUGGAUUUUUAUUCAAAAGCGGUGUCAGGACCAGGCGCUGGGAGCUGUUUGCAUCCCUUGAGCGGUGGGACAGGACAUCAGUGCGAUGGAGGGAGAGAAAAGUGCUCAGCCUCCCUGAAGUACUUCUCCUGCUGCCUCCCUCCUCCCAGAAAAUAAACAGAUUGAAACCUCACGCUUCGUUCCAACAUGCCCGUUCUUCAGUCUGUGUUGUCGGUGUAAGGCUCCAGCUGUGA